rnacentral:rRNA from 1 species
GACGAACGCUGGCGGCGUGCCUAAUACAUGCAAGUCGAACGCAGUGGGGACGGGUGAGUAACACGUGGGUAACCUCCCAUCAGAGGGGAUAACACUUGGAAACAGGUGCUAAACCGCUACUGAUGGAUGGACCCGCGGUGCAUUAGCUAGUUGGUGAGGUAACGGCGCACCAAGGCCACGAUGCAUAGCCUGGCUGGGAGGGUGAUCGGCCAAACUGGGAACGAGACAAGGCCCAGACUCCAACGGGAGGGAGCAGGAGGGAAUCUUCGGCAAAGGACGAAAGUCUGAACGAGCAAAGCCGCGGGAGUGAAGAAGGUUUUCGGAGCGGAAAGCUCUGUUGUAAGGGAAGCGGUAUCUUACAAGAAAGGAACGGCUAACUACGUGCCAGCAGCCGCGGUAAUUC